rnacentral:rRNA from 1 species
AGUGAACGCUGGCGGUAGGCCUAACACAUGCAAGUCGAACGGCAGCACAGGAGAGCUUGCUCUCUGGGUGGCGAGUGGCGGACGGGUGAGGAAUACAUCGGAAUCUACUUUUUCGCGGGGGAUAACGUAGGGAAACUUACGCUAAUACCGCAUACGACCUACGGGUGAAAGCAGGGGACCUUCGGGCCUUGCGCGAUUGAAUGCGCCGAUGUCGGAUUAGCUAGUUGGCGGGGUAAAGGCCCACCAAGGCGACGAUCCGUAGCUGGUCUGAGAGGAUGAUCAGCCACACUGGAACUGAGACACGGUCCAGACUCCUACGGGAGGCAGCAGUGGGGAAUAUUGGACAAUGGGCGCAAGCCUGAUCCAGCCAUACCGCGUGGGUGAAGAAGGCCUUCGGGUUGUAAAGCCCUUUUGUUGGGAAAGAAAUCCAGCUGGCUAAUACCCGGUUGGGAUGACGGUACCCAAAGAAUAAGCACCGGCUAACUUCGUGCCAGCAGCCGCAGUAA